rnacentral:lncRNA from 1 species
UCAGAAGUGACUUGUGCUGAAAUCGGAUUGAAAACAGAAGAUCUAGAAUUUUCUAUUGGAAAUGGGACAGAUAAAUUAGCAGAAAAUGCACAGUCUCAGAAAAUUAUGAAAAUUGGAGGAUAAGUUAGAAAUAUUUUUAUGAGGCUAGAUUUAAAGUUUCAUAUUUUUCUGACACCCGUAGAGUGAGAAAUAAAAUCCGACAGCUAUCUGAUAAAGAUUACAGUUCGGUACAGUUUUCAGUGACCAAACGGGGUCGAAACUGAACCAGCGAUCGUCAACUUGUUAAGUUAAGUAAAACCGAACAUGACUGUCAAGUUUGAGCUCAAACGGACAUUCAGGGAGCUCCGGCGAAAGUAUCAGAUUUCAGGCUGCCCGGGAGUGAAUAGUGUUGUGGUGUUGACUAAAGAGGAGUGUUGACUCCUCUUCUUCUCCUUCAGCCGCACACACCCCACACACACACACGCGCAUGGAGGGGGAGGGAAACCCUCCCUUCUCUCUCUAGAGAUCUCUCUCAUCUCUCUAAAUCUCUCUCUAAAAAUUGGAGGGUUGGUGGAGAAGAUGCUUGCGAACGCAUUGGAGGCGACGGAUCGAGCUUUCGUGCGCCCGUUAGAGCGGCGUAUUUUCGUCGCGGCGUUCACAUUGAGGUAAGCUUUUGGGAUUUGGCUUAAUCCUUAGUUUUAAGUGUUCUAAUAGCCUCUAAUGAGCAUUCUAAACAUGUUUGCUCUAUUUAAUUUGGAUUAUUUAGAGGUUAAUUGCAUGUUAGGGCUCCGAAUGGGGUUUUGUAAAAUGUAUGGGUUUGAUCUCAUUUGACCCUCCGUAAACCAAAUUGCUAGGUAAACGAACGCGUUGGCGAAGACGGUUCGGCAAUCCGACGAGCCGUUACAAAGUUAUUAAAGAAAUAGACGUUUAGGCUUCGGGUCCGCCGGGAGGGCCGAGGCGACAUCGUAAAAUCAUGAAAAUGGAUUUGAAGCAUCGUGGCACAUAACCGAAGACCUUUAAUUUUCGGAUCGUGAAUUGGAGGCCGUUCGGGUGGUCGCGCAAGAGAUCGGGUCAAACCGGGUGCCGGGUGCCGCGGGCGGCCGAUUGCAAGUGUCGACAAGCGAUCGGAAUGCGAAAUGAGGUGGGUUGUGCUUACCGAAGCGACUAGGUCGCCUUUAUGUCUAGAAAUGGGAUUUCAUAUUGAUGCAUAUUGACAUAAUAUAAGAAUGUAAAAGGAAUGCAUGUUAACAUACUAUAGAAAUGCUAGAUAAAUGCAUAUGAUUAAUGCUUUGAAUGCAUAAUAUAAAGGGCGUAUGAAUGUUAGCAUUAUAAGAACAUCAUAAAAGGAAUGUAUGAUGACAUGUUGUAGAAUAUGCUAAAUGUAAUGCAUAAUGAAUUAAGUGCUAAAAGAAUGCAUGAGAUGCUAAGUAUGGACUAUUUUGGAUAAUGACUAUAUGUAUGUUGACAAAUCAUGUGAUGCUUGUGGCAUAUGUGCAUGAUGAUAUAUUAUGAAUUUACAUAUUGUGGAUUAUGUUAAAUAGAAAAACAUACUUGAUGACAUAUUGCCAUGUUGUGGAACAUAGUGGACAAUCUAUAUAUAUAUAUUAGAUCGAGUGGCAUUAAACCUAGCAUCUUGAACCUAGCAAACACUUGUGGUGAUUGAUCAUAUAUAUUCUGGUGUCAUUCAUGUAUGUUAGGACCCUAUUAUUGUGUAAAUAUGAGAGUUGGACUUGAACAUUAGUAAACAAGGGUGACAAUGACAAUAGAGACAUGAUUGGCAUCAAGAAAGUGAUUGUUAAACAUAGUUUAACCAUAUUGACAUUGGUCCAAGUUGACAUAGAGAGUGGCAUGAUUAAAUAGGUAGAGACCUAUCAUGACAUUGGCAUUGUGACGAGUGGCUAUGAAUCCUCAAGUUGAGGAUUGGAUCGAUACUCACGUUACGUCUUGGCUUGAGGGAGGUAGCUCCUCCUCGGGCGGUGCGCUCCGGAGUUGGUCACCACUGGGCGUGGUAAGGUCCCCCCAGAUGACGGUCCCCAGGGAGGUUCGAGUCCCCCGUUAUUAAGGAAUUUUGGUAGUGAGUUAUUGGGGUUAACAUGGUUAACCGGUAAGAUUGGGUCAUAGCCAAAUGAGUGUACAACAAGUAUACAUUAUGAGUUAUGGAUUUGGUAUCCUAGUCGAGAGGAUUUAGGGCUGAGGUGUAUUGAGACGUCCAUCGCCUCGAGCCUGGUUCUAGUACGGUACUCCGCAGACGAUUGACUCAAGACCGAGUCGGGUGGUUAGCCUUGUAAAGGUAGAUGAAACUUUAUGAUUAAAACGGUGAUUGACAAGAAUCUAAGAUAGAGGAAACCUUAGAUAUCGAAUGGAUGAGCUAUGGUUAGCAGAUUUGAAAGUAGUGUCAAAUGAACUACUAGUUGGUUGGCAUAGUUACAUUAUUGCAUGAUUUGCAUAUAGCAUUGCAUUAUUGCAUUCGUAAGGCAAUGCAUGGUUUUAUUCGUUGCAUAAUCAAGAUAUAUAUCUAUCUGUUUAUUGAACUAACUUGCAGUUGCCUCCCUUGGACCUAUUGGUCGAGCUCUUCCCUUGGGUGGCCGUACCCACUGGGAACCAUGGAGUUGGUUCUCACCCCACGUGGUUUUGGGGUGUUACAGGUUCGCACGUGAGCGGCGCGGCGGCGCGAGGC